UUUUGUAUAAUGGGUCAGCGACUUAUAUUCUGUAGCAAGGUUAACCGAAUAGGGGAGCCGAAGGGAAACCGAGUCUUAACUGGGCGUUAAGUUGCAGGGUAUAGACCCGAAACCCGGUGAUCUAGCCAUGGGCAGGUUGAAGGUUGGGUAACACUAACUGGAGGACCGAACCGACUAAUGUUGAAAAAUUAGCGGAUGACUUGUGGCUGGGGGUGAAAGGCCAAUCAAACCGGGAGAUAGCUGGUUCUCCCCGAAAGCUAUUUAGGUAGCGCCUCGUGAAUUCAUCUCCGGGGGUAGAGCACUGUUUCGGCAAGGGGGUCAUCCCGACUUACCAACCCGAUGCAAACUGCGAAUACCGGAGAAUGUUAUCACGGGAGACACACGGCGGGUGCUAACGUCCGUCGUGAAGAGGGAAACAACCCAGACCGCCAGCUAAGGUCCCAAAGUCAUGGUUAAGUGGGAAACGAUGUGGGAAGGCCCAGACAGCCAGGAUGUUGGCUUAGAAGCAGCCAUCAUUUAAAGAAAGCGUAAUAGCUCACUGGUCGAGUCGGCCUGCGCGGAAGAUGUAACGGGGCUAAACCAUGCACCGAAGCUGCGGCAGCGACACUAUGUGUUGUUGGGUAGGGGAGCGUUCUGUAAGCCUGCGAAGGUGGCCUGUGAGGGUUGCUGGAGGUAUCAGAAGUGCGAAUGCUGACAUAAGUAACGAUAAAGCGGGUGAAAAGCCCGCUCGCCGGAAGACCAAGGGUUCCUGUCCAACGUUAAUCGGGGCAGGGUGAGUCGACCCCUAAGGCGAGGCCGAAAGGCGUAGUCGAUGGGAAACAGGUUAAUAUUCCUGUACUUGGUGUUACUGCGAAGGGGGGACGGAGAAGGCUAUGUUGGCCGGGCGACGGUUGUCCCGGUUUAAGCGUGUAGGCUGGUUUUCCAGGCAAAUCCGGAAAAUCAAGGCUGAGGCGUGAUGACGAGGCACUACGGUGCUGAAGCAACAAAUGCCCUGCUUCCAGGAAAAGCCUCUAAGCAUCAGGUAACAUCAAAUCGUACCCCAAACCGACACAGGUGGUCAGGUAGAGAAUACCAAGGCGCUUGAGAGAACUCGGGUGAAGGAACUAGGCAAAAUGGUGCCGUAACUUCGGGAGAAGGCACGCUGAUAUGUAGGUGAAGUCCCUCGCGGAUGGAGCUGAAAUCAGUCGAAGAUACCAGCUGGCUGCAACUGUUUAUUAAAAACACAGCACUGUGCAAACACGAAAGUGGACGUAUACGGUGUGACGCCUGCCCGGUGC
rnacentral:rRNA from 1 species